UGGCGGUUAAUCUGUCACGAUUUGUCGCAGGGUUCGUAGCGAUUCGUAGGUUAGGUGAUGAUGGAAGGUACGGAAGGCACUGACAAUACGGAUCAUACGGAUGAUCUUGCAGGAAAUAAUUGGAAGGAUCAUGCGUCUGGUAAAGAGGUGGGAAGUGCUCAAGAAGAAACUGAACACGAAGAGGAAAAAUCAGAAAGGAUUUUGAGAUUGCCUCUUGCAAGAGUGAAACACAUAAUGAAAAUCGACCCAGAUGUUCAUUUCGCUAGCCAAGAAGCAGUAUUCCUUAUUACGAAAUCAACGGAGCUAUUCAUUGAAUCACUUGCCAAGGAAGCCUACACAUACACAACCCAAGGCAAACGGAGAACACUUCAGAAGAAGGAUGUUGACAAUGCAAUAGAGUCUGCAGACUGCCUUGCAUUCUUAGAGGGAGUACUUGAUACAUGAAUUCCAAGUACAUAAAAUGUUCCUAUUAUUGCAUGUAGUGAAAUACUUUAUUGUGAUUCCUGUUUUCAUUAAGGAGUGCUAAAGACUUCUCCAAAAACAAUAUCAAACUAUUUCCAACUGGGCUAAUCGUUCAUAAUGCAGUAGGUUCCUCCAGCCAAUAUACUUCUCAAACAAUCAAUCAAGCCAUCUUCAAUGAUAAAAAAACAGUACAGGAUCUGAAAAAAAUAUUGCAAUUUGCAAUAUUAUAUUGUGGCGUACAAACCCACUGCUAAGCAUGACUCUGUAAACAGCGGCCAUUGCUAGGUAACGCCCGCAA